GGGGAAAAGAAACCAACCGGGAUUGCCUUAGUAACGGCGAGUGAAGCGGCAAAAGCUCAAAUUUGAAAUCYGGUACCUUCGGUGCCCGAGUUGUAAUUUGUAGAAGGUAACUUUGGGGCUGGUCCUUGUCUAUGUUCCUUGGAACAGGACGUCAUAGAGGGUGAGAAUCCCGUGUGGCGAGGAUCCCAGUUCUUUGUAAAGUGCUUUCGAAGAGUCGAGUUGUUUGGGAAUGCAGCUCUAAGUGGGUGGUAAAUUCCAUCUAAAGCUAAAUAUUGGCGAGAGACCGAUAGCGAACAAGUACAGUGAUGGAAAGAUGAAAAGAACUUUGAAAAGAGAGUGAAAAAGUACGUGAAAUUGUUGAAAGGGAAGGGCAUUUGAUCAGACAUGGUGUUUUGCGCCCUCUGCUCCUUGUGGGUGGGGGAAUCUCGCAGCUCACUGGGCCAGCAUCAGUUUUGGCGGCAGGAUAAAUCUGCAGGAAUGUAGCUUGCCUCGGUAAGUGUUAUAUCCUGUAGAAAUACUGCCAGCUGGGACUGAGGACUGCGACUUUACGUCAAGGAUGCUGGCAUAAUGGUUAUAUGCCGCCCGUCU
rnacentral:rRNA from 1 species